CCUACGGGAGGCAGCAGUGGGGAAUAUUGGACAAUGGGCGAAAGCCUGAUCCAGCCAUGCCGCGUGUGUGAAGAAGGCCUUCGGGUUGUAAAGCACUUUCAGUGGGGAAGAAAGCCUUGGGGCUAAUACCCUCGAGGAAGGACAUCACCCACAGAAGAAGCACCGGCUAACUCCGUGCCAGCAGCCGCGGUAAUACAGAGGGUGCGAGCGUUAAUCGGAAUUACUGGGCGUAAAGCGCGCGUAGGCGGUCUGAUAAGCCGGUUGUGAAAGCCCCGGGCUCAACCUGGGAACGGCAUCCGGAACUGUCAGGCUAGAGUGCAGGAGAGGAAGGUAGAAUUCCCGGUGUAGCAGUGAAAUGCGUAGAGAUCGGGAGGAAUACCAGUGGCGAAGGCGGCCUUCUGGACUGACACUGACGCUGAGGUGCGAAAGCGUGGGUAGCAAACAGGAUUAGAUACCCCGGUAGUC
rnacentral:rRNA from 1 species